CUUUUUCCUUCUGUCACUGCAAAUGAAACUAAAAGGCAUUCAGAACAUCUUCAUCUGUCAAACAACCUAUAUGUACUAGAUGAGUACUUUUUAAAUGGUGAUUUGCAUACAAAUCGCCCAGGGAUCUUGUUAAAGGGCAUUAUUUGUAGGUCUAGGGUGGGGACCUGUGAUUCCACUUUUCCUGCAAGCUCUCAGGUGACGCUGAAGCUGCCUGGACACAGAGAAGUUUGAAUAUCAGUUGUACUCAGGAAAGAAUCCCUCAAUGGCUAGUCCUGGUUAGAUGUCUUUUGGAUACUUCUGUGAAUUCUGAACAUGGGAUCAACUGAUAUCAUCAGGGAUUGUGUAGCGAAAUUGAUGACAGUGAGAAUAUUGAGGCAAAGACUCCCCCAUCCUACAGUUUCUGAAGACAAUGAAUCUGGCCAUUGCUUAAUUGGGUUUUCUAGGGUCUCUUGCAAAGCUGUGAUCAAGAUGUGAGCUAUGGACAGUCUCAUCCAAAUGCUCAAGUGGGGAAGGAUUGACUUCCAAUCUCAUGUGGAUAUUAACAAAUUCAGUCCUCAAGGAAUAUGGGACUCAAUCCCUCAGUACUUGUUUGUUAUCAACGGAGGCUGCCCUCAGUUUCUUGCCAUGUGCACCUUUCCAACACACGAAGCUUCAUCAAAGUCUAUAAAAAGAAAGGCAAUAGAGAUAGUCUACUAGCAAGACAGUAGUCUCAAUUACCUACAACUUCAUCACAUUAGAGAUAUUCCCUUACUUUUACCAUAUUCUCUUGGUUGUAAUUACAUCAUUAGGGAAUUACUUUUAAUCAUGAUCAUAGCUCACUGCCAGGGGAAGAGAUUAAAAAGGAUGCGAAGAAAAUGAGAAUAAUUAGGGGACAUCUUAGAAGCUGCCUUUCCAAGUGAUAACUGAAAUGUGGUAGCUUUGCCUCUCUUUGAAUGAGUAAAAGCCAUAGUUAAACAAGUCAACAUAUGAAAGAUAAUUUGUACUCCUUUCUCUACCACGACAGAACAUAUUUGCUAAUCUGGUUUGGGUUGCUUUAAACAUCAUCUGCAUUGGAUUUGUUACACAAUAGUCAGUACAGACACUUCUCAAAUCUUGUCUUCUCUACUGAAAACAGUGAAUGUUUUAGAUAAAGGUCUUUUCAGAUUGAUGCUUCUUAUGUGGCUUUUAUUCAUGGGAGAGGGAGCAAGAAAGCAUACAAGUCAAAGUGGUAGAUAUAAUUUCUUAAUUACCUCACAUUGGAUAUGCAGGUGAAAAAACAUUUUGAAAAUGUCUCAAAAAAGAACAAGGUAAGAAAAUAAAGAAAUCCCCAGCCUCUGUGUAGUUGUAAACAAAGAUGGCUGAAUUGAGUAGAAUUUUCUGCAGGUCCUUAAAAGAAUGGAUCAAUAUAAAUAAAACAAAUGAAGUUUUGUCAAGGAAACUAAGGAUGUAGAUAUUGCCAUUAUUUAAAAUGUUGAUAUUUGUUUUAUUGUGAAAUUUUUCAUUAAUAUAUUAAUAUUGCUGAAUUUAUUGUCCUUCUACCCUUAAAUUUUGCAUUACUGGCAGACCAAUCUUGGCCCCAGAUCACUUUUUUACUAAGUCUGAGGAGGAAUGAAAACCCCUAUUUAUAAGUCAAGUUUCUAAAAACAAAAAACACACAAACAAAAAAACAUGUGGUCAGUUUAUCCCAAUGAAGAUAAAUUUACAAUACUGAUGUAGAGGAAGAAUUAAAAUAAAUUGUGCUGAAACGUGGUGACAAAUUCACCUUGGACAUAAAUGUGACAGAGAAAAAAUCAGUGUCUCAAAAACUAGGAUUAUCUACCUACGGCCUCAGCAGAAGAUGACUGGCUGUAUGCCACUCUCAGACUUGAGUGGCAACAAUUAUUCUGUGGGUUGUUGAAUACAGAUUCUCAACAGAGUUAUACGCAUCAUGACCAUGAAGGGACACAUUCAGAACUGACAAUGAGAUUGGGAAGUUACACAGAUGCUGUGAUCAAAAGUGGCCAGUAACAAUGAAACUACAACCAGAACAUGACAAGUCAACAGUAACAUUGCUCGUGAUACCUAAGCCCCAAAUCAUAAUUGGAAUAGGUUCGUGUGAUGUAGCAGUUGGAAAUAUUGCUGUCGUUGCUUGAAUGUAAAUUAAUCAGAAGACAUUCUUUAAGAACUAAUUAGAUACAUGAAACUGGAACCACUGGGACUUUCUCAGACAUUUUGGGUGGUGACUAUUAAGCUAUAUGUAUUCCCAGAAAGCACCAGAGAAGUUCAACCUUUAGUAAAGAAAUGAUAAAACAAAACAAAACCAAAACCAAAAACAAAACAAAACAAAAAAACGAGGUGUUUUAUAGCAAUUGACUAAGUUCCAAGUUGGCCAGAGGAUAUCAUGAAAACAGAAGAUUGAAUCAACUAGUGUUCAGAUAAAAUUAACAGAACCAGACAUUGAUUCUAAAUCAAAGAGUUUUCACAGGCCAAAACAUACAAGUAAAUUAUGGUUGAUUUAACUAAGGCCUUAUCUUUCAUCCCCCAAACAGAGAGGAGUUUAGUUCAAUUGCUUUAUGUGGAAAGAUGUGAAACAUAAAUUCAGGAGGAUUCAUAGAAGAGAUUUGCUACUUUGGUUAAGAGUAAACUGGCUUAUUACACUGAUGAUAUUGUGAUUGAGGAAAAAUAAGAAGUAGCACUGAGAGCAGUGCUGUCACUGGGGAAAGCAUGUGUUUGGCAUGUUUCAGUCUCUUGCUGUCUUCUUGGGUCAGGCUCUCAGUUGCCUUCUGCCUCCACCUCAGCUCAGUCACUGUUACCACAUCCAGCCCCUGGAGGGGGCCUGGGUACAAGCACAGGAAAGUCGGCAUUAGGCAUGUGGUGUCCCACACACUAAGUCAUGGUAUGGGGAGCUGAGGGUCUGUGAAGGUCUGCACUCAACACUUGAGUAUCCCUGUGCCCAAAGGAGUAUGACAUUAAAUAGCAAAUAUAGAAUGUCAUGAUGGAUCAAGUGACAGUGGUUAAAAAUAAGUAAAAUGUUUUCCUGUUUUUUGAAAGAGGCCCCAACUGUUCCUUGUAACUGUGCUCCACCAUCUAUUUAGCCACCCUUAAAUACGAGGUUUGCUAAGAAUAGUUAUUCACAUAACAUAUAGGGGUUGAUUGUUACAUCCUUCAAACAGUUAAUUCAGAGACCAGUAACCACCAUGAAAUUUUAGGAAAUCACUAAAUUAUACCACUAGACAUAUCCCCUCAAGCAUUGAAAAACAAAUCAUUGUGUUUGAAGAAUCCCACAAAUAAAGUGACGCACAGAAUGUAAUAGGCUUAUUUGUGUCCCGAAGGGCAUACAUUCUGUUUGAAAUGUACCCUUGCUUAAGGUGACCAGAAAAAAAUGAUCUAAAUAGAGACUUGAGGAGCAUAAGGAAUUGUAGGACUGACAAAAGCUUGCUAACAGCACAGGGAAAUUGGUCCAUAUAUGCUGUAAUGGUUACUAUUGAGUGUCAACUCGGGUGGAUUGAAGGAUGCACAGUAUUGUUCCUGGGUGUGUCUGUGACGGUGUUCCCAAAGGAGAUUAACAUUUGAGUGAGUGGACUGGGAGAGGCAGACCGACCCUGAAUCUGGGUGGGCACCAUCUAAUCAGCCAGCUCAGAUACUAUAAAAACAGGCAGAGGAACCUGGAAGGACUAGACUGGCUUAGCCUUCCGGCCUACCUCUUUCUCCCAUGCUGGAUGCUUCCUGCUUUCAAAUAUCGUACUCCAGGUUUUUCAACUUUGGGACUCAUGGAUCUUUGACCACAGACUGAAGGCUGCACUGUUGGCUUUCCUACUUCUGAAGUUUUGGGACUCAGACUGGGUUCUUUGCUUCUCGGCUUGCAGAGGGCCUAUUGCAGGAUCUUACUUUGUGAUCAUGUAAGUCAAUGCUCUUUAACAGAUUCCCCUUUAUAUGUACAUCUAUCCUAUUAGUUAUGUCCCUCUAGAGAACCCUGAAUAAUACAUAUGGUAUACUUGAUAUUAGAAGUAUCUGCUAUACUGUAUGCCAGGUCUUCUUUACUCCUUUGAAUGCACCAAAAGUAAAUGUGAAUGAAUCUCAAUAAAAAGCAUUGAAAGGGCUAUGAUGAGAAUGAGGAUACUUAAUCUGGUGGUGAUAAUGUGUUGUCGCCAUACUAGAUUUCCGAAAGGGCUGAUUGUGAGAAGCAUUAUGACAAACACAAGCUGAUAUGUUUUUAGUAGUAGAAUAGGCAUGAUUUUUAUGACUUCACUCAAUUGCAUUAAAAUGGGAAAUGUGAUGCUGUGUGUGGGAGGGAAGUUAGGGGUGUAGAUACUCUGUAAUCAGUAAAUCUCUCUGCUAUGUGCAUUAUGUAGACAAUUUCUCUACAGUUGACUAGUGAUUUUCUUCACAAUGUUAGGCUUACAGAUUUGUUCCUGUUUGUAGAACUGCAGUGUCAACUAACUCAGUAGAAGAUAAUAAUGUUUUAUCAAUAAUAUAUUUAUAUUUUGGGGACUAAUAUCUCCUAUAUUAAGCAAUAUGUAUUUUACCUUUUAUUCCUUAUAUAAUAAUAUGCACCCUAAGGAUAUUCUGUGUUUAUUAAGUGGUUUUCAGAAUAAUGAUGUAAUUAAUGGAAUCUUUCUUUUAAAUAACACUUUUGGAAACAAUAUUUUAUGUUUAUGUAAAUUCGUGUAAAUUUAGAAUGUUUUAGGUGUUUAGUUCCUAAAGCAGAAUAUAUGUGAUGCAUGAAAUGUACAUUUUAAGGGCAAAUACAUAUUGUAAGUUGUCAUGUAAAUGAUUAGCAGUGGGAUACCAUAGAAGGAAUCUUGAACCAUGAUUCACAAAGUUGUACUAUAGUGAUGUUCUGUCAUUAAUUCUUUGUAUGUCCUUGUGAAUAUUACCUAAGCUCUCUGAACCUCAGUUUUCACAGUUAUAAAACAAAAGUGAUGGACUGGGUUGCCUUAAAUGUCUUUUAAAAAUAUUCUAUGCCAACUGUAAGCAGCCUAAAUAAACACUUGAUAUAUUGAUUGUAAUAAUACCAGGGUUUUUUUUUAACCUCUUACAAUUAACUACAUUUUAUUUAUUUAUUUUUCUUUCACAUUAUUUUAUACAUCCAUUGCUAUGACAAUUUAGAAACAUGAAAACUACAAAUUAUAAGCAAAUUCAUAGACAAAAUUAUUAAAACAGACUAAAAGUGAUGUAGCAUAUAUUAC
rnacentral:lncRNA from 10 species